CACGCCCGAAGUCGUUAUCUCAACCCGCAAGGGAGGGAGGCGCCUAAGGCAGGGCUGGUGACUGGGGUGAAGUCGUAACAAGGUAGCCGUACCGGAAGGUGCGGCUGGAUCACCUCCUUAUAGGGAGACCUAUUUAUGUCUAGACUGAACCAAUACAGAAUUAGGUCAGACAUAAGUCAUCCCAAGGUCGUUCGAGAUUUAUUGGAAAGCUUUCAAACUAAGUCAGGUUCUAAAUUUGGCUAACAUAAAGGGCCAUUAGCUCAGUUGGUUAGAGCGCACCCCUGAUAAGGGUGAGGUCACUGGUUCGUGUCCAGUAUGGCCCACUUGAGAAGCUAGCAACUAGAAGCCAAAAGCUGAAAGUAAUAGUCAACUCUGGGGAUAUAGCUCAGUUGGUAGAGCGCCUGCUUUGCACGCAGGAAGUCAGGAGUUCGAAUCUCCUUAUCUCCACCAAACUACUAACGAUAGACCAACAAAAGCAAAAGCAAGAGUUUAGCAACUCAUCUAGUUAGGUAAAGCCUAAACAACUAGAGAGACUGCUAAAUUCUAGCGAAAGCGAAGAAUUUAGAAAGAACCUUGAAAACUGCAUAGUAAUAGUAAUAAGAAGCAAGUAGAUCCAAAGUGGAAACACAGAGGUCAAGCUACAAAGGGCUCACG
rnacentral:misc_RNA from 1 species